rnacentral:rRNA from 1 species
CAGGCUUAACACAUGCAAGUCGAGGGGCAGCAUGGUCUUAGCUUGCUAAGGCCGAUGGCGACCGGCGCACGGGUGAGUAACGCGUAUCCAACCUGCCUUACACUCUUGGACAGCCUUCUGAAAGGGAGAUUAAUACAAGAUGUUAUCAUGAGUAAGCAUUUUCGCAUGAUUAAAGGUUUACCGGUGUAAGAUGGGGAUGCGUUCCAUUAGAUAGUAGGCGGGGUAACGGCCCACCUAGUCUUCGAUGGAUAGGGGUUCUGAGAGGAAGGUCCCCCACAUUGGAACUGAGACACGGUCCAAACUCCUACGGGAGGCAGCAGUGAGGAAUAUUGGUCAAUGGACGAGAGUCUGAACCAGCCAAGUAGCGUGAAGGAUGAAGGUUCUAUGGAUUGUAAACUUCUUUUAUACGGGAAUAAACGGAUCCACGUGUGGAUUUUUGCAUGUACCGUAUGAAUAAGGAUCGGCUAACUCCGUGCCAGCAGCCGCGGUAAUACGGAGGAUCCGAGCGUUAUCCGGAUUUAUUGGGUUUAAAGGGAGCGUAGAUGGGUUGUUAAGUCAGUUGUGAAAGUUUGCGGCUCAACCGUAAAAUUGCAAUUGAUACUGGCAGUCUUGAGUACAGUUGAGGUAGGCGGAAUUCGUGGUGUAGCGGUGAAAUGCUUAGAUAUCACGAAGAACUCCGAUUGCGAAGGCAGCUUACUAACCUGUAACUGACAUUGAUGCUCGAAAGUGUGGGUAUCAAACAGGAUUAGAUACCCUGGUAGUCCACACGGUAAACGAUGAAUACUCGCUGUAGGCGAUAUACAGUCUGCGGCCAAGCGAAAGCAUUAAGUAUUCCACCUGGGGAGUACGCCGGCAACGGUGAAACUCAAAGGAAUUGACGGGGGCCCGCACAAGCGGAGGAACAUGUGGUUUAAUUCGAUGAUACGCGAGGAACCUUACCCGGGCUUAAAUUGCAACCGAAUAUGGCGGAAACGCUAUAGCUAGCAAUAGCGGUUGUGAAGGUGCUGCAUGGUUGUCGUCAGCUCGUGCCGUGAGGUGUCGGCUUAAGUGCCAUAACGAGCGCAACCCUUGCCGAUAGUUACUAACAGGUUAUGCUGAGGACUCUGUCGGGACUGCCAUCGUAAGAUGUUAGGAAGGUGGGGAUGACGUCAAAUCAGCACGGCCCUUACGUCCGGGGCUACACACGUGUUACAAUGGGGGGUACAGAGGGCUGCUACCACGCAAGUGGAUGCCAAUCCCAAAAACCUCUCUCAGUUCGGAUUGAAGUCUGCAACCCGACUUCAUGAAGCUGGAUUCGCUAGUAAUCGCGCAUCAGCCACGGCGCGGUGAAUACGUUCCCGGGCCUUGUACACACCGCCCGUCAAGCCAUGGGAGCCGGGGGUACCUGAAGUGCGUAACCGCAAGGAGCGCCCUAGGGUAAAACUGGUGACU